GCAAGGAAGACACGCCAGAGGUUUAGUCCAUGCUUUACUGGAGAUGAAUGAGCCCCAGGCCUGUCGCUGCGUCGAAGGCGGGCUGUUUAAUUCUGCUCCUGGUGACAGAAAGAAAGGCAUCUCGAAAGGAACUGCUGUAGGCAUCAUGGUCCCUCUGAAGGCACCUGAAAAUCCCAGGUUUCUUCUGGAGGUGGGAAGAACAAGGUACUGGAUUAGACAGGCCCUUGGCAGCUGCUGCGUAUGCUAUCCUUUCACUCGCUCUCCUAGUACAUAAAAUCUCUGUUGUUUUUUCAGUCCCUACCCAAACUUCCCUCUUUCUUCAGCAAGGCUUUGUAAGUGGAGAUCUUUAUCCCAGUCUGCAUCUGUAUUGCAGCUAUUUUUAACAGUUCUUAUAGAUGGAAUUGUUUUUAAUGAUACACAUUUGUAUCAUUAUUAUUUUUAAUAGUCUCACUUUAAAUUGCUUUUACACUUUUUUGUUGUUGUUUUUCUUUUAUGGCUGUAACCGUGUUCUUUGUUUUAUCAUGUAAGCCAUACUGGGGCUUUAUGGAAAACGCCAAGGAAGACAUCUAAUUCAUUAAAUAAAUAUUCAUUUAUCUGGGGUAAAUAUAUAGUAACAACAACUGAACCAUUUGCUGCCUCCAUUAUGGCUAGUAGCCAUGGAUAGCUUUAUCCUUCAUGAAAUUGGCCAGUCCUCUUUAAAGCCAUAUGAGUUGGUGGGCAUCACUCCCUCAUGUGGGAAUGAGUUCCAUAGGUUUACUAUGCACCGCAUAAAUAAAUCCUUUCUUCUUCUUCUUCUUCUUCUUCUUCUUCUUCUUCUUCUUCUUCUUCUUCUAUUGUUAUUCAUUUCAUUAUAUUUUUUGCAAACAAAAUCCAAAGUGGUUUACAACACAUUAAAACAUCAGCUAAUACAAGCCAGAAAAUAAAACUUUACUGAAGAAAUCAAAGUAUAUAUUCAAAGCAAUGUAAUUAACAGGAAACUAAAAUAUUAUCUUAAAGACUGCAAAAUAAAACAUUAUAAAACAGGUUAACUACAGAAUGCACGUGUAACACAGCAAAGUUAACUCCCCCCCAUAAUAAACUCUUAAAAAGGGAGCACGACUAAAGGAAGUCAAGUAUAAAAUGCACAUUUCAAACAGCAUAAUUAACAAAAGAAUAAUCUGCUCCAAAUAUUCCAAAAUUCUUUUUUAAAAAAUAAUAUUUAUUACUUUUAUAGAUUACAAAAAGGGAAGAGAAAAACAGAAAAAAAGACAAAGGAGAAAAGCAAAAAGGAAAAAAAAAAUACAGUACAGUAUAUAGACAAUGCAAAACACAACCUAAACUCAAAACUAAACACACCCCACUCCCUAACCUUAACCCUAAAUAAAACAAAACAAAAACAAUUUAAAAACAUACAUCAUCCCUUUUCCGUACUCUAUCUUUCAUUCCUUUGUUUCCUCGACCUCCUCUCACCUCCCUUUUUGUAUUCCACUUCUAUUAAUUGUUUCAGCAAAUCCUUUCCAUCUUUCUCCAUUUUCUAUCAUAUUGUAAAUAACGUAUUUUUUAACCUUAUUUUCGAUUUAACCUAAAAUACUUUUAUAUGCUUAACUCCUUAUAUCAUUUCUGCUAAGCCCUUAAAAUUUAUUUCCACCAUUUUUCUAUCACUCAUUAGUUUUACCAUAUGUCUAUAUAUAAACUUUAAAUUUUCCAAUCUUCUUCCACCAUCUCCUCUCCCUGGUUUCGGAUUCUGCCAGUCCUUUCCGUCAACUCCAUAAAGUCCAUCAACCUGGUGAUCUUAUGUCCGAGGCUCUUAACUCUUUCCCAAGUCCCUUCUGCAGGUCUUCUUCAUUUUCUUUAAUGCUAAAGAACAAAUCUCAGGGAAACUCCAACCUGUCAAUCCUUUUCUUCCUUCUGAAGAGAUCAGCCAAAUUUCCAUAGUUGAAGCUACAGUCCAUAAAGUAUUUCAGGGCAUAUUUCAAGAUUCCUCCAAAUCCAAAGGCCCCCAAAACUUCAAUCUCCUCCAGGCCCGAGUCCAUGUCCCAAAAGUCAGUUAAUCCCUGCAUAGAGGGAUCUUUCCAACUUUCCUUCUUUAAUCCAAGCCGGGAUCCAUUCCUCAAAGUCUGACUUUUCCUAGAUUCAAUCAUAAAAGGCCUCAACUUAUAGUCCUCAAUUUGCUUCUGUAAAGCCACGGAUCCCGCUUGUAUUACUUUAUGUUAAACAACAGUAGCUUUCUCCUUCUCCUCCUUCUCCUCCACCAUUUGUCCUGCCAAAAUGGAUUCCUGUACCAAGUCCUGGAUUAUUUCUGUGUUGGUGUUCGCUUUUUGACUCAAAUUAGUCACUUUCUGUUCCAAAUUAUCAACUUUAAAAGUCAUGUCAUCCAUCUUCUUGUGAAGCUGUCCCAGCAAACAGCUUAUCUUACAUAAAACAGUCACAAUGGCCUCUCCUGUCAACAUUUUUAAAUGGUCCAAGGUCAAUCUCUGGUUCUCAGAAUCCUUAUCUGCAGCUGGAAAUCCCCCAGUUACACUCCUGUAACAGUUUCAAAAGCUCACUCUUGAGGGAAACAGUCUCCACUUGUAUCAGUUCUUUCAGGCACAACUCAAGCAUUAAAGAUAGUUUCAAUUUUUCAGUUACUUUUCCUCUUUUUUAAACGCAGAGGAGGACAAUGGAAACAGUAUCUUACUCUUAUUUAGCUAGCUGUCAAAUCCGUUCUGUCAAUGCACUCUCUCCAAACGUCAUCUGGCAGCCUGUUCCCAGGUUCAGAGCAGUGGUAAUUUGAUUUUUCACUCUCUCCUGCAGGCUCACUAGGUCCAAAAUUCCCCCCUCUUCUCCUGCUUCCAAGGGGGGUUUUGUAUUUUAAACUGAUGGAAAUUUAAUCCUUUGCCAAAAGCUUUCAAAGACUUUAACUUGUAACGUCUUUACUUCAGUCUAUUUACAAAAACGGAAGGCGGACUUCCUGUUUAUGACCUUCCCACUUCAGUGCCAAAUUAAGAUAUUUAAAAGUCCAAUUUUCCGUUCUACUCACGGGUAGUUGUUUAAAAUCCAAAAGUCAGCGCUCUCCGGCAACAGCAAUGCGGCUUCACUCCGUGAAAGAAGCAGUCGAUUCAAAGCACCGCGCCACUCACCCCACGUCGCUCCGGAUCCCCAAAACAGGGUUUCCCCCGCGAGUAGGGGAGGCGCAAAAGGUGCCAGCCGAAUCCCAAGUUCACAAGCUUCUCCCGCUUGUGAUUUCAAUGGGUCUCCACCUUCGCCGUGGCGGUCAGACCCUGUUUUUCACGGAGCAAGUUCCUCCCGAACGGAGGAGCUCCGCCAUUGUCGGAGGCGCCAACCCGGAAGUCCGAAAUAUUCCAAAAUUCAACUUCAUUGAAUGUCCAUGAGUUCUAGUUAAAUGAAAGAGGGAAACUUUUCUUUAUCCCCUUUCCCCAUGCCAUACAUAAUUUUAUAAACUUCUGCCAUGUCACCUCUUACUCAGCUUUUUGCUAAAAUUAAAAGCCUGAAAGCUGCAAACUUUAUUCAUAGGGGAGUCACUCUGUCCUAGUGAUCAUUUUGGUUGCCCUUUUCUGAACCUUUUCCAACUCUACAAUGUCCUUUUUGAGAUGAGGCGACCAGAACAAUACACAGCAUUCGAAAUGCAGCCACACCAUAAAUUUGUAGAGCAGCAUUGGGAUAUUGACUUGGAAUAACAUAGGAAAUGGCCUUAUACUGAGUCAGACUAUUGGUCCACCUAGCUCAAUGUCGUCUACUGACCAGCAACACCUCCAGAGGGGUGAUUGCAAAGUUUAUUUCAGUAAUGUGGAUCAGGAAGCAACACCACAUAUCAGAAGGCUACUGGUCGCCCCCUUUCAAUAGCAAAACAGAAAGUAAAAAAGACUCCUACUAUCCAAAAAUGGUGCAACAAUAUUUGGAAAACAUUAACUACGGAGACAAUCUCAUGUCAGUUAAAGGCUCCAGCUAAUCCCAGAGUAAUUUAAAGGCUAGAGCAAAUCAAUUGAAAUCUCUGCUUCCUUAUUUAAUAAUUAUUUUAUAAUGAAAUGAUGACUAGUUCUAAAUGUAAUGGACAUGGCUAAUUGGAAAUACAUAAAGCCACUUGAAUACUCUUCAAUAGUACAUUAAUCAGCAGAAGAUACAUAUCUAUCUAUAUCUUUUAUUGAUUAUAUCUGUUUAACUUUUUUGACAUACAUGUGUGCCCAGCCAGAACUUUUGUUAUACCUCCUACUAGUCCUCUCUCUGUUUAUUUCUUUCCUUGAAGCUUGUUUGUUAAUUUUAGGCUGUGAUCUUAUACAUACUCACUUCGGAGUAAGUCCCAUUGAACUCAAUGCAGCUUCCUUCUGAGUAGGAACAUAUAGGACUACACUGUUAUUUAUUUACUUCAUUCUUCUAAAUAGCAUCCUAUGUCAGAAGAACCAGCUAGUAAAAAGUGGGGAGGGGGGAAAAAAUAGUUUGGUUUUUAAUUAAAUGCACAAUAUCUAUUAUUGUUGUUGGGUUUUGUUUUGUUUUUAAAGUUCUGCAUUUUUUAAAUGGAUCAGACUCCAAGGCAAAUCUAGUAUAUGGCUGUAUUGAUUUUAUUUUUUGAAAACUCUGGGACGAUCUGUUUAAGAGGAGAAUAGAAGACACUUAACUGGCACAAUCAACUCUAAAAUAUUAUACAAACCUGCUUAGUAUUUGACUUCAUAAUUUACAUUUCAUGUGCAUGGAAUGUUUUGGGGGGGUAUAUGAUAAUUGUUUGUUUUAAGCACUUUUAGAAACUGGAAUAUAAAGUGUGUGUGUGAGUGUGUGUGUGUGUGAGUGUGUGUGAGUGUGAAUUUAGCUUGGCUGGCAGGCUGCCAAUUCUGACUCUUCUUCUUUCUCUCCCCUGAUUGCUGCCUAAUUUUAAGGUGUCAUGAUCAGGCCACCUCUCCCAUCAGCUUCUCCUAUUUGAGUACACCUUUCCAAAUGUGAUGUUUUCCCAAGUCUUUUUCCUGAUAGUCACAGUGAAGUAUUAAUUAAAGGGGAAGUAUGCCAAGGCAGGGAGUCAAAAGUUCAGCUGCCAGGUUCCCCCGCCCAGGCAAUUGAACAAGAGGAAAUAGAGAGGCAAAAAAAAAAAAAAAAAACCCCCAGCCAAAUGACCACAUAGCUCAGCUCAUUAAGUGACCGGGAACCUGCCAAAGCGUGGCCAUUAAUUCCACCCAAUUGAUUGCUGCUUCCCAUUCUGCAGAGUCAGGCCCAGAAAGUACGGGUCCCAUCCCUUCUCUUGGGAAAUAUUUAUUUAAACCCAGCCCUGCGCGAACAGCCGUUUGUGAACGCCAUUUAGAGACAAGCUACGGGUUCCAAACGACCCAACACCAUUUAGAUGCGGUCACUGUAAGAGAGGGAGAGAGUGUGUGUGCGCGUGCGUGUGCUUUUUGAAGAGUGAAUAGCAGAUGGGGGAGGCAGAACUGGAACUAGACCUGGGGAGUAGGAGGAUUUAAACCAUGGGUAGGCAAACUAAGGCCCGGGGGCUGGAUCAGGCCCAAUCGCCUUCCAAAUCCAGCCCACGGAUGGUCCAGGAAUCAGCAUGUUUUUACAUGAGUAGAAUGUGUGCUUUUAUUUAAAAUGCAUCUCUGGGUCAUUUGUGGGGCAUAGGAAUUCGUUCAUUUCCCCCCAAAAAUAUAGUCCUGCCCCCCACAAGGUCUGAGGGACAGUGGACCAACCCCCUGCUGAAAAAGUUUGCUGACCCCUGAUUUAAACUCUCUGUACCCUGCUGUGGUCCAGAUCUGGAUCAAGCCUUCUCUUGUAGUGGUUAAGAGCGGUAGACUCGUAAUCUGGUGAACCAGGUUCGCGUCUCCGCUCCUCCACAUGCAGCUGCUGGGUGACCUUGGGCUAGUCACACUUCUGUGAAGUCUCUCAGCCCCACUCACCUCACAGAGUGUUGUGGGGGAGGAAGGGAAAGGAGAAUGUUAGCCGCUUUGAGACUCCUUCGGGUAGUGAUAGAGCGGGAUAUCAAAUCCAAACUCUUCUUCUUCUUCUUGCACCUGCUCUUUGCAUUGUGAGGAACCCUCCCAAAGGCUCCAGUAGGACUUGAAUGUGGUAGGGGAUUGAGGAAAAGCAGGUCCAGGAAGCCGCAUAUGGUCCAUCAGUGGCUUCUCUAUUAGGUUCUCAGGAAUGUCCCUAAACCCUGCUCUUCAUGCUACUCCCCCCCUUGAGUGUUUGCCCCCAGCUGGAAUGUGUCUUUCAUCUGUGAUAAUGGCUCUCACUUUUGCAUGCUUGGAAUAGGAAUGAGGUUGACAUCUUCUUUGGGGUACUUUUGGUGGCAGUUAAAGACUCCUUGGCUCACUGCUAGCACCCGUCUUGUGUGCCUCUUUUAUGAUGAUGUUUCACUAGUGAUUUUGAUUCUGUUGAAUUUUCAAAGGCUUUUAUAUUGUGACCCAUGACUCCUCCCCCCCCCCAAAAAAACCAUCCUCAGACCAAUGAGGACUCUGCAUGCCCCAUGGCUACAGAGUAUGUGUUGGGGGAAGUGGAACCAGACAACUAGGGGGAGGGAAUGGAAUGGAGUAUCCUGAAAUAAGGCAUGGUUGCCUGGGUCACUGAACAGGGACACUUCACACUGCAGCAAAAUAGGAACAUGGGAAGCUACCUUUUGUUGAGUCAGUCCAUUGGUCUAUCUACAUCAGUAUUGGCUACACAGACUGGCAGCAGCUCUCCGGAGUUUCAGACAGGGAGUUUCUCCCAACCCUACCUGGAGAUGCCAGGGAUUGAACCUGGGAUCUUCUGCAUGCAAGGCAGUAGCUGCUCAGCCACUGAACUACACCAUAAGAACACAAAAAGAGCCCUGCUGGUUGACCAGAUGUCUUUGGAAAUCCUAAAAGCAGCACCAGAGUGCAUUGACACACUAACCUCUUGUGAUUCACAGCAACUUCACCAAAAGAUUACAGGUCUCAGUGUUGUUCUAGUCCAGGGGUCAUCAAACUUUUUCAGCAGGGGGCUGGUCCACUGUCCCUCAGACUUGUGGGGGGCCGGACUAUAUUUUGAAGGGGGAAAAAUGAAUGAAUUCCUAUGCCCCACAAAUAACCCAGAGAUACAUUUUAAAUAAAAGCACAUAUUCUACUCAUGUAAAAACAUCAGGCAGGCCCCACAAAUAACCCAGAGAUGCAUUUUAAAUAAAAGGACACAUUCUACUCAUUUAAAAACACGCUGAUUCCCAGACCGUCCGUGGGCCGGAUUUACAAGGCAAUUGGGCCUGAUCCAGCCCCCAGGCCUUAGUUUGCCUACCCAUGUUCUAGUCAUAAGUUUGUAGGAGAAGCGUUGUUUUCUCCUCACCCCAAGCGCCUAGCAAGUGGCUAUUUUAUCAACCCACAUUAGAGAGAGAGAGAGAGAGAGAGAGAGAGAGAGAGAGAGGCUACUGCUCCUUUCAGGAUCACCCCUCCCAGAAGCUGUGCAGAUUGACAAAGGACCAUAUUCCAUCUCCCUAGCAAUAAAUGCCCUUCUGUGCCCAGUCAAAGUGAGACGGCGUUUAAUUGAAUUAAGAUUCCAGCAGGAAAGGCAAGAUGCCAGGAGCCUCCAGUUUUGCUGCCUCCUCUUCUCUCCUCCCUGACCCUCCCCCCCUCCCCACUUUCCUAAUUUCUGGGCUAACCUAACCUAGAACUGUCAUCUCCAUCCCUCGCUGCUUACUUCACUCCUCAGCAAUGUGGAAGCGUUCAAAGAGGAAGAUGUGUUGGCUGGGAUGGAGAUGGGGGCGGGAGGGUUGGGGGGGUGGGAGGAGGGUGAGAGCGUGUUUUCCCAGGCUCGUUGAGAUUCAUAAAUUUAACUCGGGGUGCGGGGUGGAAGUAAGGGAACAAAGAGAAGAAAGCAGCGAGAAAGGCUGGCUUGCUGGGAGGAGCGGCGCAACAGCUCCGAAACGGUUAAACCAAGGCAGCCGCCCAGCACCGUAGGGGCAAAGAUGCCCAUGUUUCGGAAGCUUUUGACAGGAGAGCCGCUGGCUGGCAUCCAGGGCUUCAGGGGUAUACAAAAGGGGCUGAGGCUUUGCUGCCAAACACAGCUCUUGUCUAUAGCCGUUCUCCAAAGAGUUGUGUGCCAUAACAAGGCCAAUUUUAAGAAGCUGGGACUGCAGUUUUAGGGGCGCAGGAAGCUGCCAUCUACCAAGUCCAUAUGGUGGCUGGUCCAUAUAUAAGAACAGUUUUAAGAACAUAAGCAGAGGCCUCCAGGAUCAGGCCAGGGGCCCAUCUAGUGCAGCAACCUGUUCUCACAGUAGCCCAUCAGAUGCCGCAAGGGGAAGGAUGCAACCAGGCCCAGAAUGCAACAGCAACACUUGUAAUUCCGGUCCAGUGGUAUUCAGAGGUAUUCUGCCUCUGACAGUAGAGGGAAAGCACAGCUAGCAGCCUCAUCCUCCAUGAAUCCUCUUUUGAAGUCUCCUAAACUGGUGACCAUCACUAAAUCACGUGGGAGCAGAUUCUAUGUAAGUUGCAUGAAAAAGUACCGUAUUUUUCGUUCUAUAAGAUGCACCAGACCAUAAGACGCACCUAGUUUUUGGAGGACGAAAACAAGAAAAAAAAAUAUUCUGAAUCCCAGAAGCCAGAACAGCAAGAGCGAUUGCUGUGCAGCGAAAGCAGCAAUCCCUCUUGCUGUUCUGGCUUCUGGGAUAGCUGCGCAGCCUGCAUUCACUCCAUAAGACGCACACACAUUUCCCCUUACUUUUUAGGAGGGAAAAAGUGAGUCUUAUAGAGCAAAAAAUAUGGUACUUUUCUUUAUCUUCCCUGAACCUUCCAUUGGAUGGCCUUGAGUUCCAGUACUUGGGGGACGGGGACUUCUCCCUAUCCACUUUCCAGCGGUUCUCAACCUGUGGGUCCCCAGAUGUUGUUGGACUACAACUCCCACCAUCCCUGAGCUCUGGCCUUGCUAGCUAGGGGUGAUGGGAGUUGUAGUUCAACAACAUCUGGGGACCCACAGGUUGAGAAAGGCUGCUCUAGACCAUAUAUAAUUUUAUACACCUCUACCAUGUCUCCACCUUGAGCCAUAUCUGUCUAAACCACAAGGAGACAAGAAGAAGUAAAGGUACAGGGAUAGUCUGGGCACGUGGAUGUCCCUCACUCAAUCUGUCUUAAACACCAUGCAAACCCCUCUUCUGCAGAGAGAGACCUACAAGGCCAGGUUGGUUCCUAGGAAACAUCUAUUACAGGACAGACCAAGGAGAGAAAACUGUUGAAUUGUAGCCCAUGCUAGCCCUACUCAAGAGAAGACCCAUUGAAAUUAACAGCCUUGACCAACUCAGGUCCACUCAUUUCAAUGGGUCUACUCUGAGUAGUAGAACGUAGUUGGCUACAUUAUCACACGUGAAACGUACAAGAGAGACGUCACCUGUAUUCUUGGCAUAUCAGAAAAUUGUCUUAAUGUUUUGUAAGCAAAGCGGGAUAGCAUUAUAGAACGUAGCACUCUGUAGCUCUUUCUUUUUGCUGGUCAACAGACCGAAUGCUUCCCUAUCUCUCCUAUCAAGAAAUCUUCCUUUUCCCCUUCUCUGCUCCCCCCCCUUUCUGCAAAAUGCACCCCCCCUCCAUCUUAAUCACAAAUGCCCAGCUCUCUUGUCCCAUUCAAUAUGCACCCCCUGCUGCGUCCUUUAGAACCCGGGGAAAGGAUAACUUCAGCAACAGCUGCUGGCUCAAACUUCCCUUGGCAAUCACAUCCUCCUCCCCACCAUGAUUAUUUCCCUGCCCCCAGCCCAAAGAAGUCCCCCUCCCCCUCCCAAUAGAAGAGAGUCUAUAUACUCCCUGCAAAAGCCCAUGCUGAAAAAGCCCUGAAAAAGCCCAUGGCAUGCAUUUCCGUUGUCUCAAGCCCAGCUCAACGUAUGCAUGAAGUCGCGUCCUCAGUUGCUGUGCAUGUGUGCAAACUCUCUCACACACAGGGAAGUAUAGAGGGGGGAAAUGCAAACAGUGGCGCCAAAAGACCAUGAAAUGCAAGAGGUGAAAGACAAGCACAGUGACAGCGGAGGUACUAAAUGGCCUUUGCUGACUGCUCCCUCUCUCAUCAUAAUUCUAGAACUCAGGGACAUCCAAUGAAGAUCAGGACAAACAAAAGAAAGGACUUCUUCACACAGCCUGAAGUUAAACUAUGGAAUUAGUUCCCACAAGAGGCAGUGAGGGCCAGCAUCUUGGGUGGCUUCAAAAAAGAGGAUUAGGCAUAUUCAGGCAGGAUAAGCCUUUCAGUGGCCACUAACAAUGAUGGCCACAUCCACUGCUGGAGGCAGCAUGCAUCUGAAUACCAGCUGCUUGAAGCCACUGUGAGAACAGCAUGUGGACUAGGAACAUAGGAAGCUGCCUUAUACUGAGUCAGACCACUGGUCCAUCUAGCUCAGCAUUGUCUACACUGAUAGGCGGUGGGUCUCCAGGAUUCAAGGCAGGAGUUUCUCCCAGCCCUACCAGGAGAUGAACCUGAGACCUGCUGCGUGCAAAUCAGAUGCUCAGCCCCUGACCUAUGGUUGUUAUGAAGCUUUGGCCUGAGCCAGCAGGGCCCAUAUUAUGCUCUUAAAGGUAAAGGGACCCCUGACCAUUAGGUCCAGUAGCAGACAACUCUGGGGUUGCGGCGCUCAUCUCGCUUUAUUGGCCGAGGGAGCCGGUGUACAGGUUCCGGGUCAUGUGGCCAGCAUGACUAAGCCGCUUCUGGUGAACCAGAGCAGCGCACGGAAACGCCGUUUACCUUCCCGCCAGAGCGGUACCUAUUUAUCUACUUGCACUUUGACGUGCUUUCAAACUGCUAGGUUGGCAGGAGCAGGGGCCGAGCAACGGGAGCUCACCCCGUCACGGGGAAUCGAACCGCCGACCUUCUGAUCAGCAAAUUCUAGGCUCUGUGGUUUAACCCACAGCACCACCCGCGUCCAUUAUGCUCUUAGGUUCUCUCUAAUAGCAAACGCAAGAGGUGGAAAAAAUGAAGCCCAAACAGGGCUGCUGAGAGGUGUAAGUGUGCUUUGCAAAAGUUUGAAGUUUUUUUUUUAAAAAAGAACAUGAACACCAAUGAAAUACUGAGAAGAGGACUUGGGAAGAAUAUAAAUUCUGUUUAAUUUGCCUUCCCCUUCCCGAUUAGGUAAAAAAGGUAAGGUAAAGGACCCCUGGAUGGUGAAGUCUAAUCAAAGGCGACUAUGGGGUGCAGCGCUUAUCUUGCUUUCAGGCCGAGAGAGAUGGCGUUUGUCCACAGACAGCUUUCCGGGUCAUGUGACCCGCAUAACUAAAGCGCUUCUGGUGCAACGGAACACUGUGAAGGAAACCAGAGCACACUUUCCCGCCACAGCGGUACCUAUUUAUCUACUUGCACUGGCGUGCUUUUGAACUGCUAGGUUGGCAGGAGCUGGGACAGAGCAACGGGAGCUCACCCCGUCGCGGGGAUUCGAACCGUCGACCUUCAGAUCAGCAAGCCCAAGAGGCUCAGUGGUUUAGACCACAGUGCCACCAACAUCCCAAUUACAUUACACUAGAAACAGUGACAAGAAACCUCUAAGUCAGGUGGCCAAAUGUGUCCUACUUUACAGCAGGCAGACCUCCGCCUGAAGGGCAGUCAGGGGACAGUCCUCUAUUUGAAGGCAUCCCCACUUUGAAAGGCUGCCUGAACGAAGCCUGAGUUAAAGAACUUGGACAGCAGGAACACAGGAUUUGUCCCUCUUCUCUUUAAAUUCAAGUCAUCCUUCUGAAAUUUGCAUCUAUAGAUGUAAAGUAGUUAUUCACGUUUUAAUGCAUGGCUAUAUCCCCUGCCUGUCCUUUUUUUGGUGAUGUGUACAUUUAUAUUUAUUGUUAUUAUAAAAUGUAUCACCCAGCCCUUCCCCAGCAGGUGCUAAGGCACUUACAACAAUAUAAGAUUCAAAAUUAAAAACAGUUAAAUCUGGUUACAGUCACAGGAAAAGGGUGUGCCCUAAAAACACACAUUUCAGGUGUCAAAGGUCAGGGUAAAGAGGCCGCAUGGUCUAAUGCCUGCAUGACCCCAGGCUGAACAAUCUCAAAUAUUGGAAGUAAUAUUUCAUAUCAGAUUAGGCAGGGGAGACAGUACAGUGCAGCAGUUAGAGGGUCAGACAAAUCCCUGGGAGACUGGGGUUCAAAUCCCUACUUGGCCAUGAAGCUCACUAGGCGUCACAGUCUCAACCUAGCCUACCUCACAGAGUUGUUGUGAAGUUUAAAAAGAAUGAAGGAAGAAAACAUUGCAUGCCACCUUGAGCUCCUUGGAUGAACGGUGAGAUAGGAAUGUAAUGUAAUAAAACAAUAAAUUCACAGAGCAAUCAUUUUCCAUUUCAGUUAACUGAACAGAAUUGUAACAUAUGCUAUGAUAUGGGGUGUCUUGCUGGGAGGGAUAGAGGCAAUGCAUUUCCAAGAAAGGGAACAAAAAUCUGCAUAAAAUUUGUAUAUGCUAAUUCCAAGGUGUAGAUGCUAAUUUAGAAGUGCUGCAAUUUAAACAGAAAUGCAAUGGGAAGGACUUUGGCCAGGUGACUUGCUUGAUAGGUAACAAUGGACGAUGUUAAAGCCCCAUCCCACUCUCCUUUCUUGGGAUUCUUCCUCUCUGAAAUAUAGAGGAUUCCUUCAAAUAGAGGACUUUCCUGGAUAACGCAGGACGCAUACGAACAGAGCUUCCCUUCUAAAUUUCCUGCUGGGUGGCAAGGCAAGGGUUAACACAGCCCAGUUCUCAAGAGGUGGUGUUGUUGACAGCUGUGAUGAAUGAGGCAUGAAUCCACCUCUGGCUGGACUGAGAGGCAGGAUGGGGGUGUGCGGAGGAGAGAAAAUUACCAUUAUCCACACCCCAUGCUCCCCUUGCUCAGCAGGAAGAUCUUUCUUCUCUGUUUUGGCACUGGGAGACUGUCUCAGGGCACGAACUCCAGGUCACUUCACAGGGGGAACUUGCUCCUUCCUUACACCCUUGAAACACCCUUGCUUGCUCACAUCCAGGGUGGCAAAACAAUCCCCCACACACCCACUUCCCAGACUGACUAUUUCUAAGGCUGUAUCAUUAAGUGGUGAUUAACACCAGGAAAGGCCUACUUUAACUGGCAGAGUCGAAAGCAAAAGGUUUUCUGGGCUUUUUGUUUAGCGUAGACUUACUUGUCCUGAUCAAGGAUAAGCAAUAGUAUGUACUGCUCUAUUCUACCUUAAUCAGAACCCCCUGGAGUCCUGUGUCCAGUUGAAGAAGGAUAUUGGCAAGCUGCAACACGUGGAGAGGAGGGUGACCAAGAUGAUCGGGGAUCUGAAACCAAGCCUUAUGAAGAAUGGUUGAGGGAGUUGGGUAUGUUUAGCCUGGAGAAGAGAAGACCAAUUUUCAUGUCUCUUUUGUAGGAAAUGUAUACAGUCUUACCUCAGAAGCCCAAGAGAAUCCAUUCUGGAAGUCCGUUUGACUUCCAAAACAUUCAGAAACCAAAGCACAGUUUCCGAUUUGGACGUUCAGCUUCCAAAAUAAGUUCACGAACCGGAACACACACUGCCGUGUUUGCGGCGUUCGGGAGUCAAAAUGUUCGACUCGCAAGGCGUUUGACUUCCAAGGUAUGACUGUACUUGUUUGUGUGUUCUGUCACAUGGAAGAUGGAGCAAGCUUGCUUUUUGCUGCUCCAGGGAGUAGGACCUGAGGCAAUGGAUUUGAAUCUACAAGAGAUGACCCUUGGGGUCCCUUCCAACUUUACAAUUCUAUGAUUCUGCGAGUAUUUAUAGCAUGCUUCAUAGCUCCCAGAGGGCUAUAUUCUCCCUCCACUGUCGGUGGCAGUACAGUCUCUGAAUACCAGAUGAUGGCAAUCACAGGUGGGGAUAAUGCUGUUGUGCGCAGGUCCUGCUUGUGGGAUUCCCAUUGGUCUAUAGCUGGCCACUGUGAGAGUAGGAUGUUGAUUUCGAUGGACCUUUUGCCCAAUCUAGGCCUAGGCUCUUCUUACAUUUCUGCAUUCUUAACCAGGGUGGAAUCCACACACACAUUAAAAAAACGCUGUGCCAAUGCUUUUUUAAAAAACGUUUUGAAAAAUACAUUGGAAUUGCCAUAGCUCACUGUCGCCAUCUAGUGUCACCUUUGUAUAUUGCACUUUACUUAAAACAUUUUAUUUGCAGCUGUGUAGCUGAGUCCUAUGAUUAUUUCGUCCACACUUUCUGCUCUUGUCACCGGUCUUCUCUUGUGCCAACCUAGGCAGGCAGCUGCUGAGGACCUCUGAAUCAGGAGACAUAUUAAAAUGCUGUAUAUUGGGGAAAAUAUCCUUGCAAAACUGUGCAUAUUAGGCAAAACCACAUAGAAUAAUAUUUAUAGUGGGGAAAAGCUGCACUUAAACAUUAGUGAACUUUUAUUAGGUUAAGGUCUGGUUAACUACAAUAACACCCCCCUUUUUUUCCUUUCUUUUUUGGUUCUGUUUUGUUUUCUACAUAGGUACUAGUUUCUUCUUCUUUUUGUGUCUUACCUUACUCUGCACACUUGUAAUUAUGUACUUUUUAUUUUUCAAUAUAGAAUAUAAAAUGAUAAUAAUAAAAAAGAAUUUGCUAAUGGAUGUUGAGAUCUGAAGACUGGAAAAAAUGAGAAACUGAAAAGUUUCCCCCAUUCCUACCCAUUGCAGCCCAAUCAAUCAAUAUCCAGUCAUGUUGGAGAUGGUUUGUUCUGCCAUGAUCAGAUUGAGGAGGCCUUUUAGAAGGAGCCUGGACAGCUGGAGACUUUGGGUUCACCAGCAAGGAAAUGCAUAUUGGAAGACACAAGAUCUACCCACCUUGGAAGAAUGGCAGAUGAAGGUGAUGGACUAUAUGGAAGUGGCGGAAAUGACUGGCAGAAUCCGAGACCAGGGAGAAGAGUCGAUGGAAGAAGAUUGGAAAAAGUUUAAAGACUAUCUACAGAAAUAUUGCAAAAUUAAUGAAUGUUAGAAUGAUGUUGGAUAGAAACUAAGUGCUCUUUAGCUGAAAUGUUAUAAGGGAAUAUGAAAGAAUGGUUUAUUAAUGGGUAAAAAUCUAAAAUUACAAUAUUCUAUGAUUAAUGAUUAGGAUAUACAAAGAGGGGAGGGAUUUGCUGAACUAUCAACUGAACUGGAAUACAAAAAAGGGAGGUGUGAGGAGGUCCUGAAAACUAAGCAAAUGAAGGAUAAGUAAUGGAAGGAAGGAAUUGUUUUUAACCAUUUUUACUUUGUAUUUUUUCUUUUUUCUUUUUGUUUUGUUUUGUAAUAUUCUGAAAAUCCUAAUAAAUAUCUUAUAAAAAAUAAAAAAAAGGAAAUGCAAAGGCUCCAGGCAGCUGAUGCUGAAAGGGCCACCAUGUAACACCAAGGAAGGCAGCAUCUGUUUGCAGGCCGGAGGGCCUCUUCUCCCCUCAGCGGAACGAAGUGCCUGCAUGCCAAGAAUAUGGCGUGCGGAUGGCUUUGUGGGGUAUAUAUAAUGCAGCAUUCACAAGAGCCGGGGAGCAGAUGUUUCUCUGUAGGUGAGAAGGUGGCCGAGCCUCUCCUCCAGGGGAAAGCAAUGCCCUCAUUGUUUGAGCAUUCCGCUCUCUAGGCUCUACAGAUGUGUCUGAUCUCAUUCAGACCGGAUGGAGAGCUCAAGGCGGAGGAGGCGCAGGCUCGAGGCAGGCCUGCCGCAAGCGUUUGGCACGUUGGGGUGUGAAUGAGAAGGUGCGGAAAGAUCCCCAUCCCAUUCUUGGACGGACGCUGGAGAUUGACAAGCCGCACGCCAUGCAGAUCGUUCUACGCGGCACUAGUGUGGUUUAGUGGUUAGAAUGUCGGACCAGAACCUGGAGACAAGGGUUCGAAUCCACACCUGGCUAUGAAGCUCACUGGGCGAUUGUGGGCCUCUCAGCCUAACUGACCUAUGAGGAGGAAGAGAGCUCCUUUAAGAAAGGGAUGGGAUGACGGUAAAAUGCAGGGCAUGUGUGCUGUGUCCUUCUUCUGAUAGGAACUGCUUGAGAGGGGAAUGGGGGGGUCAAGGAGGUUCAGUUGUGGGGGAGUGAAAAAGGUCCCUAUUUUCAUCAGAGGAAUGCUGGAGGGUAUGCAAGCAUGGAGACAGCAGACUCAGCAGGCCCCCAGCUCACCUCGUCUCAGCCUUCCACACCAUGGUCAGGUGCACUCUAAGUUAUAUUAACUAUUGCAAAGUAGAUGGGGCUGAGAGUGAAUGACUGGCUCUAAGUGUGCUUCACAGCUGAGUGGGGAUUUGAACCCUGGUGUCCCAAAUCAUAGUUCAGCACUCUAACCUGGCUGGCUGGCUGUUUCUUAUCUUUGCCCUCUAGCAAGUCGACCCAUCCUAGUUUGGGUUGUGUGUGUGUUUCAGCUCACCACAUACCUGUGAGCUUCACCCCCAGGCCUAGCAACAGUUGCCCACUUGGUGUGAGAUUCCCCCACUUCAUCUUAACGAGGUGCCACGGGUUAGGAACAGCUUGUCAACAUCGUUAAGUAAGCUUUGCUGUGCCGGAAACAAGCCAGGUCUGCUGGGCAUUCCUGGAGUUUGAAAGGCGGCAGCAUGCCAGAAAUCAGCACUCAGGGGCUUGUAAAUCUCCAAGAACCAACCCUAGAACAGACUGGCCUUCCUCUGCUGAUGAGGACGAUGAUGGAACAUUUAUUAUGCAGUCCCAGCCACACUUACCCCUUCAGGUGCCCUUUUCAUUUGUGAAUUCACGGUGGGUUUGUGCCCUUGAUGGUAGUGGAGCAGUUAAGCCAUCGCAUUUUCAAUGCCAUUUGUUUUGCAGGUUUCAGGGCAGUCAUACUCCUUCAUUUCCAGUUAGUGCAUGUCCCCUCACUUCCUGCUGAAUUUCCGUAAGUUUUUAAUACUGUAAUUAUGUGUGUUUAUUUGGAAAAGUGCUAACUAAGCUUUGGGAAGGAGGUAGGGGGACUUUAGGACCCUGUCACAGCCAUCACACCUCCUUUGCAAAGCCCAGAGCCUCCUUACUUUGGGAAGGCAGUGCAGGGGCCACUAGGGGUGUCAAAUGUUGCUGAGGGCUGCAAGCGAUCCAGACUGACUCCCCACCAAUAACAAUAUACUAUAACAAUACACCACAUCAGCUAUAACAAUAGACAACAUCAGGCACUUUGCCAAGCAGGUGUGCUCCAGCUGUUUUGGGCUACAACUUCCUGCCGGCCCAGACAGUGCUGGCUAGGGCAGGUAGAAGUUGUAGUCUAAUACAGUUGGUGGGGAAUACCAGGCUGGGGAAGUGUCUAAUACAGUAUAUAUUUUCCAGAAGAGCAAGUACCCUCCUGGCUUUUAAAUCUGCACAGGCUACCACAUAUGAGCAUAUCAUAAGAGCUGGUUAUUCAGCAGUGCUAUGUAAUCAUGUAAGUGAAGAGAGCACCAAAGUCAAAUCUGAGGAAUCUCCUUGGCUUCCUUUCAGAAGUGGGUCACAUGCCAGUUGUGGGCGAGACCAGAGAGAAAAGUGGGUGGAGCUAUGGAUUUAAUUAUUUUUAUUUUUUUAAAAAUACCCUGCUUUGCACCUCAUCUGGGUCUCAAAGCGGCUCACCAAAAAGAGAGAAAAGAACAUACAAUAUACUUCUCUGAAUUUUGCAGUACAGUCGUACCUUGGAAGUCGAACAGAAUCCUUUCCGGAAGCCCUUUUUGAAAACCUUUUGAAAACCUUUUUGAAAACCUUUUGGCGCAGCCAAUCAGAAGCCGCAGAAGCCCUGUCAGACGUUCAGGUUCCAAAACAACGUUUGCAAACCGGAACAAUCACUUCCAGGUCUGCGGCGUUCAGGAGCCAAAACAACUGAGUUCCAGGCCGUUUGACAACCAAAGUACGACUGUAUAGUUCUUCAGCCACGGAAUGUGUCCAAAAGGGCAUUUGCCACUGUAAAAUGUCCCCAUACAGUAAUUUAUUAGUGAAAAUGACAUACAGAAAUGCAUUAUAUUAGGGGAAUUUUACCAAAAUGUGUAUACUAGGAGAAAUUUGCACUAAAAUGCAAAACAUUUUAGGACUGAAACAAAACCUGUUGUGGAGAACUGAAUUUAAGACCGGAAAAAUGAACAACUGAGACUGACAAGAUUCACCCACCCCAAAUCCUGGUGUACCUUCUUCCCACCCCUGCCUUUUUAAAGGAGCAGAAACAAACUGGGCCCCUUCCCAAUCAGUUGGCAACCUUACGUUAAGCCAGCUGUCCAGGGGAUUCAGACUCUGAAAGGCAAAAUCUGUGGAACAUGUAAAUACUUUUUAAAGCACAAUUAUCCUGCCAUUUGAAAGGCAUCAUACAUUAUUCCCACAAAGGGGUAGCAGAGCACAUAACUGUGCAGAUGUGGCAGGCCCGGCCCCAGGGCAGUGAAAGGAACUGGGGUUUUGGGGUGGGGGAGGGCAGUGUUUCCUGCUGACAUCCCUCCACCCCUUAUGAAGAUGGCGGGCUUUGAUCUUAGGCAAGACUAACAGUCAUUUAUGAUAACCAGCUGGGAGGAGGCUGCUAUGAUGGCCCCUCUCCUUGUGUUGCUUCCAACCCUGGGACCCCUGACUUUUGAACUCUGACCCCCCACCGUCUCAGUGCCCCACUGCAGGGAGCCUCCAGAGCUGAGAUAAUGAAGAUCAUGAAAGUGAAUAGAGCCAAGAGAAGAAAUUAUGCCACUGAUGACCGGGAGGCUAAGAAUGGACGAAUAAGCCAAUUUCACUUUCUAAUUCCCCCUCCCCCUCCCAGCCUUAACCUCCAUUCUCCAUAUUUCCACAUUGGCUUGAAUAUAUGGGGGCUUGAGUGUGUGUUGUAUCCCCUUGUGAAAAUUCAACAGAGUUUUAGUGUGAAUUUCUCCUAAUAGACACACUUUCGUAUGCAAUUGUUCCUAAUAUAAAGACGUUUCUGUAUGCGAUAGUCCCUAAAUAUGUUCUAAAUGUUAUCUCCACCAAUAUAGGCAUUAUUAAUGCACACUUCACCCCAGUUUAUGCAUUUUUGCACACAUUACUUGGCAGAAGAACUGCAUUCCAAAUCUGGAGAAGUACGAAUUUUGAAGGAUAACCGGGUUGAGUUCCACGUAUUAUUUUGGAGAAUGCAAAUUAGGUAAGUUCCCUUUUAAAUGCGAACUGAAUAGAGUUUCUCCACUCUCCCUAACAGAAGAUGGAUCAGGAUCUACCAGUAAAUCUCUGAGUGAUUUUCAGUAGAUCACGGCGAGGGAUGCCUAGCGGCUCCUAAUGGAUUCCACCUCAUUUAUGAAUUCUGGAUCCUGUGCAAGUUGCCUAAAUGUGGACACAAACACCACUCAGACUGGCUGGAGACAGGAGACUUUUGAAGACAUUUUGAAGUGUAUACUUGCAAUGCUGGAUUACUAAAUAGGCAGAGUAGGCACCACGGUGCCUAUGAUGUCUUUUAGGGGCCUCACGACAAUGGAUCAAAAUAAUAUUGUGUAAUAAAACUG